rnacentral:rRNA from 1 species
GACGAACGCUGGCGGCGUGCUUAACACAUGCAAGUCGAACGGAAAGGCCCUGCUUGCAGGGUGCUCGAGUGGCGAACGGGUGAGUAACACGUGGGUGAUCUGCCCCUUACUUUGGGAUAAGCCUGGGAAACUGGGUCUAAUACUGGAUAGGACCAUGCUGUAGGUGGUGUGGUGGAAAGAUUAGUUUCGGUAAGGGAUGAGCUCGCGGCCUAUCAGCUUGUUGGUGGGGUAAUGGCCUACCAAGGCGUCGACGGGUAGCCGGCCUGAGAGGGUGGACGGCCACAUUGGGACUGAGAUACGGCCCAGACUCCUGCGGGAGGCAGCAGUGGGGAAUAUUGCACAAUGGGCGCAAGCCUGAUGCAGCGACGCCGCGUGGGGGAUGACGGCCUUCGGGUUGUAAACUCCUUUCGGCCAUGACGAAGCCCUUGUGGUGACGGUAGUGGUAGAAGAAGCACCGGCUAACUACGUG